UGUCAUGGGUUUUGGUCCAUAGGGCGCGGUCUACGGAGGCUCGAGGCCGCGUCGCUUUCACGCUCUCUCUCCUGCUUAUUUUUUCCACCUUGCUUUCGAUCUUUUCUGACAGCACGGCAAUUUCUAGCCCUUUAUAUAUUCUAAAAUAAAUCCAUUCCCUUCUUUGCCGGGGUCCAUUCCUGGCAUUCACACAUGCGCUGCUACGGCCACACGCUUUACUUCACACACACUGGGAAUUUUUCUUUGUUUUCUUCUCAUUUUUAUGGUGCUUUUUUUUGUUGACUAACUGGUCCUAGAUCCUGGACUUUGUCAAUAGAUCUUGCGUAAACACAUCUUUAUGAUAGUUAAGCUAUACAAAUUUUAGGUUAGGACAGUGGUGAGUGGCCAAAAGAAGCACUAGUUUAUUUUGCUUUUGACUGUUGUCGAUCAACAAGUUUUACUAAAACCCUGUUUUUGGUAUUGUUGUACUAUGUAAGUAAACAGUAAACGUCAUUUUAUUUGCCAGGACAUAUAGAAAUAGGAAAACCAAAGAUAUAAAUAUUCUCAAGUGUUAGGAUUUC
rnacentral:lncRNA from 1 species